AAUCCCAUUCCUCCCUAAGACU
rnacentral:tRNA from 1 species